rnacentral:rRNA from 1 species
GAUGAACGCUGGCGGCAUGCCUAACACAUGCAAGUCGAACGGCAGCUCAUUAUCACCGUGCGCUUACGGUUAGCGAUUGGCAGACGGGUGCCGAAUGGAUCGGAAUCAAGUUUGUAAUCUGCGAUAAAGAAGGGGAACUCACGCUAAUACAGGUGAUAAUCUACCGGAGCAAGCGUUCGCGCUUGGUACCUUUGUCGAUGGUGUGAGUCCUUGUCGGAUUAGCUAGUUGGCGGGGUAAAGGCCCACCAAGGCGACGAUCCGUAGCUGAACUGAGAGGAUGAUCGGCCACACUGGGACUGAGACACGGUCCAGACUCCUACGGGAGGCAGCAGUGGGGAAUCUUGGACAAUGGGCGCAAGCCUGAUCCAGCAAUGCCGCGUGGGUGAAGAAGGCCUUCGGGUUGUAAAGCCCUUUUGUUGGGGAAGAAAAUCAGCGGGUUAAUCCGUUGACGUUCUGACGGUACCUAACGAAUAAGCAACGGCUAACUUCGUG